CAGUCGCCGCGGUAAUACGAAGGGUGCAAGCGUUAAUCGGAAUUACUGGGCGUAAAGCGUGCGUAGGCGGUGAGUUAAGUCUGUUGUGAAAUCCCCGGGCUCAACCUGGGAAUGGCAAUGGAUACUGGCAAGCUAGAGUGUGUCAGAGGAUGGUGGAAUUCCCGGUGUAGCGGUGAAAUGCGUAGAGAUCGGGAGGAACAUCAGUGGCGAAGGCGGCCAUCUGGGACAACACUGACGCUGAGGCACGAAAGCGUGGGGAGCAAACAGGAUUAGAGACCCGUGUAGUCCCUGUCUCUUAUAC
rnacentral:rRNA from 1 species